GGGUUUGUGGCUCAGUGGUAGAGCACUUGCCUAACAUGCAUGAGGCAUUGAAUUUGAUCUUCAGCACCA
rfam:Ictidomys tridecemlineatus contig013146, whole genome shotgun sequence.